GACAGUGUAGCACAGUGGUAAGGCACAGCGCUUGUAAUGGAAAGGUUGCCGGUUCAAUUCCCUGCAGGGUCA